AGCGAGUAGGACAGACUCUUCAGUCUGAUUCUGUGGAAAUGAGAGUAAUUCUGACAUAGCAUACAGGUUA
rfam:Artichoke Mottled Crinkle Virus complete genome